AAUGAACGUUGGCGGCAUGGAUUAGGCAUGCAAGUCGAGCGAGAACCGUAGCAAUACGGGGACAGCGGCGAAAGGGAGAGUAAUGUGUGGAUAUCUACCUCCAGGCCUGGGACAACUACGGGAAACUGUAGCUAAUACCAGAUAAUGUCUGCGGACCAAAGGUGUGAUUCCUCCGGGAGAUGAGUCCACAUCCUAUUAGCUAGUUGGUAGGGUAAUGGCAUACCAAGGCAAUGAUGGUUAGCAGGUGUGAGAGCACGACCUGCCUCAUUGGGACUGAGACACUGCCCAGACACCUACGGGUGGCUGCAGUCGAGAAUCUUCGGCAAUGGGCGCAAGCCUGACCGAGCGAUGCCGCGUGCGGGAUGAAGGCCUUCGGGUUGUAAACCGCUGUCAGAGGGGAUGAAAUACGUCGGGGGUUCUCCCCCGGGUUUGACAUAUCCUCAGAGGAGGGACGGGCUAA
rnacentral:rRNA from 1 species